ensembl:snRNA RNU6-774P RNA, U6 small nuclear 774, pseudogene
GUGCUGGCUUCAGCAGCACAUAUACUAAAAUUGGAACAAUAAAGAGAAGAUUAGCAUGGCCCCUGCACAAGGAUGACACACAAAUUCAUGAAGUGUUCCAUAUAUAA